GGGGCAUUAACAGACCGACAAGACCCAGGGAUAGGGGCGUUACCAGACCAAACACACCCAGGGUUAGGGGCGUUACCAGACCGAUAUCACCCAGGGUUAGGGGCGUUACCAGACCGAUAUCACCCAGGGUUAGGGGUGUUACCAGACCGAUAUCACCCAGGGUUAGGGGCAUUACCAGACCAAACACACCCAGGGUUAGGGGUGUUACCAGACCAAACACACCCAGGGUUAGGGGCGUUACCAGACCGAUAUCACCCAGGGUUAGGGCGUUACCAGACCGAUAUCACCCAGGGUUAGGGGCAUUAACAGACCGACAAGACCCAGGGAUAGGGGCGUUACCAGACCAAACACACCCAGGGUUAGGGGCGUUACCAGACCGAUAUCACCCAGGGUUAGGGGCAUUACCAGACCAAACACACCCAGGGUUAGGGGCAUUAACAGACCGACAAGACCCAGGGAUAGGGGCGUUACCAGACCAAACACACCCAGGGUUAGGGGUGUUACCAGACCGAUAUCACCCAGGGUUAGGGGCGUUACCAGACCGAUAUCACCCAGGGUUAGGGGCAUUAACAGACCGACAAGACCCAGGGAUAGGGGCGUUACCAGACCAAACACACCCAGGGUUAGGGGCGUUACCAGACCGAUAUCACC
ensembl:lncRNA